rnacentral:rRNA from 1 species
AACUAACGCUGGCAGUGCGUCUUAAGCAUGCAAGUCAGACGGAAUGUAGCAAUACAUUCAGUGGCGAACGGGUGAGUAACGCGUGGAUAAUCUACCUAUGAGAUGGGGAUAACUAUUAGAAAUAGUAGCUAAUACCGAAUAAGGUCAAUUGAGGUGUUAAUUGAUGAAAGGAAGCCUUUAAAGCUUCGCUUGUAGAUGAGUCUGCGUCUUAUUAGCUAGUUGGUAGGGUAAGAGCCUACCAAGGCUAUGAUAAGUAACCGGCCUGAGAGGGUGAACGGUCACACUGGAACUGAGAUACGGUCCAG